rnacentral:lncRNA from 10 species
CUGCUCUUCUGAGUCUUCAAUUUCCAGACCAACCUCCCUUAAGGUGACUGACAGUGGGGACCUCAACCUCACCUACAGGGAUGUGGACUGAUCCCAUGGUCUCAGUGAGAGACCCAGGCAAUAUUUCUACAUGAAGCAUGUUGGAUUUCUGAAUUAUCCAGCCUCAAAUGACACCGGGAUGGGACAGUGUUAACCCAGAUAAGAAAACUGAGGCUCUGAGAAGUUGAGGGACUUGGUCAAGGCCACAUGUCAGUGAGUGCCAGAAGUUUCUGCUACUCCUACAAAAUCAGAAGUUCCCCAAAUCCAAACCAUCUCGACCUACCCCUGUGACCCGCCAAAAGAAGCUGGCCUUCCCCAUCCUCCUGUCUCCGCAGUGCCAUUUGCCUUUCAGUCUCCUAAAAAGAAGCACUUACUCUCUUCCCCAAAUCGCAGAGGGAAGCUUCAAAUACACUUCUAAUCAUCCUCAGUACCCAGCAGUAUAUAGGAAGUUAUUGUCCCAAAGUUGUGUGUCAUGCCCGAAGUGUCUGGGAUCCCCGAGUGCCUGUGGUGCCCAAGAGCUAUGAAUCUGCUAUCAUCAACACAGAGGGUACCUUCUGAAUGGGCUAUGUCUACAGUGAUGCUGCAAAUGGAAGCUAACCCUAGGAUGACUGGCCUCUGACACUUGAGCCAUCCCAUCAUCUGUCAUGGGUUGACCCAUCCAUCCCCUCAAUGAGCCUGACCUUCAGGACCACUGACAGAGGAGCAGUCAAUAGAAAUUAAUUGUUAAAUACCCAGAAAAUCUGAAAUGGUAUUUAAUAUGCAGUUCAUCAAGAGCAAAAGUUCCUUAAAUCUUCAUCUAGAAAAGUUAUUUAUAAGGGAUGAAUAUGUUGUAUGAAUAUGUUGUAUGCAAAUAUUAUAUUCAAGGGCA